rnacentral:rRNA from 1 species
CCUACGGGAGGCAGCUUUUGGGGAAUUUUCCGCAAUGGGCGAAAGCCUGACGGAGCAACGCCGCGUGAGGGAUGAGGGCCUCUGGGCUGUAAACCUCUUUUCUCAAGGAAGAAGAUCUGACGGUACUUGAGGAAUAAGCCACGGCUAAUUCCGUGCCAGCAGCCGCGGUAAUACGGGAGUGGCAAGCGUUAUCCGGAAUUAUUGGGCGUAAAGCGUCCGCAGGCGGCCUCGAAAGUCUGUCGUUAAAGCGUGGAGCUUAACUCCAUUUAAGCGGUGGAAACUACGAGGCUAGAGUGUGGUAGGGGCAGAGGGAAUUCCCGGUGUAGCGGUGAAAUGCGUAGAUAUCGGGAAGAACACCAGUGGCGAAGGCGCUCUGCUGGGCCAUAACUGACGCUCAUGGACGAAAGCCAGGGGAGCGAAAGGGAUUAGAUACCCCUGUAGUCCUGGCCGUAAACGAUGAACACUAGGUGUCGGGGGAAUCGACCCCCUCGGUGUCGUAGCUAACGCGUUAAGUGUUCCGCCUGGGGAGUACGCGCGCAAGUGUGAAACUCAAAGGAAUUGACGGGGGCCCGCACAAGCGGUGGAGUAUGUGGUUUAAUUCGAUGCAACGCGAAGAACCUUACCAGGGCUUGACAUCCUGCGAAUCCCUUGGAAACUUGGGAGUGCCUUCGGGAGCGCAGAGACAGGUGGUGCAUGGCUGUCGUCAGCUCGUGUCGUGAGAUGUUGGGUUAAGUCCCGCAACGAGCGCAACCCACGUCUUUUAGUUGCCAGCAUUAAGUUGGGCACUCUAGAGAGACCGCCGGUUGAUAAACCGGGAGGAAGGUGUGGAUGACGUCAAGUCAUCAAUUGCCCCUUACGUCCUGGGCUACACACGUACUACAUUGCUACGGACAAAGGGCCAGUCAACUCGCGAGAGCUAGCAAAUUCCCAUAAACCCGUGGCUCAGUUCAGAUCGGAAGGCUGCAACUCGCCUACGUUGAAAGGAGGAAUCGCUAGUAAAUCGCAGGUUCAGCAUAACUGGCGGUGGAAUACCGUUCCCGGGCCCUUGUACCACACCCGCCCCGUCACACCAUUGGAAGUUGGCCACACGCCCCGGAGUCGUUUACUCUCCAUACCUCGCGAAGGUAGGGAGGGAUGCCCGAAGGGGGGGGCUGGAUGACCUGGUGGGGGUGAAUGUCCGUACCAGGUAUACCGUAACCGGGUAAGGGGGCGCGCUGUGAUACUCUCUCAACGGUAUACCAAAACCGGCUUUUGGAUCUUCGUGGAUCACUACUAACUCUAUAUCUGACCGU